AGCUCACUGGUCAAGUGAUUCCGCGCCGACAAUGUAGCGGGGCUCAAGUUAUCCGCCGAAGCUGUGGCAACUUUUUUGAGUUGGGUAGGGGAGCGUCGUGUUCGUGGUGAAGCAGCCUGGUGAUGGGUUGUGGAGUGGAUGCGAGUGAGAAUGCAGGCAUGAGUAGCGAAUGACGGGUGGGAAACCCGUCCGCCGAAUAUCCAAGGGUUCCAGGGUCAAGUUAAUCUGCCCUGGGUGAGUCGGGGCCUAAGGCGAGGCCGACAGGCGUAGUCGAUGGACGACCAGUUGAUAUUCUGGUACCGGUGUAGCACCGUCCGUGUCGAGGUGUGUGAUGCUAAGCGUGCGAGUGUCCUGGUGAUCCCUUCGGGGUGAUCUUGUGGCGUGAGUGUGUGAACCGAUCAUGUAGUAGACAAGCUGCGGAGGGACACAGUGAGGUAGCUCGUCCCCGGCGAUGGUUGUCCGGGGCUAAAUGUGUGGACUGUCUGGUAGGUAAAUCCGUCAGACGUUGAGUUGAGGCAUGAUGGCGAGCCAUGUUUGUGUGGUGAGCGAGUGAUCCUGUGCUGUCGAGAAAAGCUUCGUGAGCGAGGUGUGAGCCGCCCGUACCCUAAACCGACACUGGUGGAUAGGUAGAGUAUACCGAGGCGAUCGAGAGAAUCAUGGUGAAGGAACUCGGCAAAAUGCCCCCGUAACUUUGGAAGAAGGGGGACCUGAGCUGUUGCCGCCACGUGCUGGUGGUUGCGGUGAGGGGCGCAGAGAAUUGGGGGAAGCGACUGUUUACCAAAAACACAGGUCCGUGCGAAGUCGUAAGACGAUGUAUACGGACUGACUCCUGCCCGGUGCUGGAAGGUUAAGGGGAACUGUGA
rnacentral:rRNA from 1 species